UAUCUUUUUUUAAGUUUUUGUGUAGUGAAGUAUAAUUUUGAGUGGAUGUCAUAAUCGGACUAAACUAAAUUCAGUAAAUAUGCAAUAUUCAUCUUAAUCUUAAGUUGCAGUUACUCUACCCUGUUGCUUGUUUUUUAUAGCUGAAAAGUACAAGGACUCAGUGCCUGACAACAGGAAAAACGCUGACAACGCAGCUAAAAACUCGGAGCCAUUGAUCAACCUGGACGUAAACAAUCCUGAUUUUAAGGCGGGUGUCAUGGCUCUGGCUAACCUCCUUCAGAUUCAGCGUCACGAUGACUACUUGGUAAUGCUGAAGG
rnacentral:lncRNA from 1 species